UACAGAGGUCUCAAGCGUUAUCCGGAAUGAUUGGGCGUAAAGCGUCCGCAGGUGGCAGUUCAAGUCUGCUGUCAAAGACCGGGGCUUAACUUCGGAAAGGCAGUGGAAACUGAACAGCUAGAGUAUGGUAGGGGCAGAGGGAAUUCCUGGUGUAGCGGUGAAAUGCGUAGAGAUCAGGAAGAACAUCGGUGGCGAAGGCGCUCUGCUGGACCAUAACUGACACUCAGGGACGAAAGCUAGGGGAGCGAAUGGG
rnacentral:rRNA from 1 species